UAGAGGGCUUUGCAGAGCGCAUCGCGUCCGGCCGUGGCCUCGCUGGCGCUCAAGUCGGUCAUGACAAAGUCAUCCUUCGCGUCCUGGUAAGCCCUGGAAGCGAGGGCAGCUUGAAAUCCGACGUCAGAUCCAUGGCAGCCAUCCAUCAUUUGAAAUGGAUUCAAACCUCUGCCGACCAUGGAGGCCGAUGUGGAGAGGAGACUGGUGCGCUGGUGCAAGAGGAGCUGCUGAGGCUGUGAAUGCGAUUGAUGAUUAUUUCCGAGAAAUGUGCGCGAAGUUGUCGAAUCGCGUGGUAGAGUCGAAUCUCUGGAAAAACAAUUGACACCUCCGCCACCUCCAACGGCCAUGCCGUGCGCAUCCAUCGCAGAACAACUGACCGAAUACGUCCGAUAGAGCAAGGCACUUCGAAGCUCAUCUGCCGGAAUCAUCAACAAUGUCGCAACUUCUUCUAACUCUGCAAUUCCAUAGCAAUUGUAUCAAUUCAUUAUCUCGUUAUUUGAACAUUCUCUGGGAUGUACCGUAUUCGUUGUUGAUGCUGCAUCCUUCGGUGCCGUCGAUAUUGCUAACCGGAGAGAAGAUCAAAUUCCCCAGCUUCAAGACGGCCGCUAUGAUACGGAAUAUGUUGAUAAUGUCCUCGGCCGAAAAUCCCACCGACUCCAAGGCUUUCUGCACAUUAAAGAGGCAUUUUUUUUUCUUUUAGUAUCGUAGAUUUUUAAUCGACAGGCUCGUUCUUGAUUGAUACCUUGGUGUUGAAGAAUUCAUCCUUGUCACUCUGGUGCCACACCGACGGAUUCGAAUGGUUAUUCCGCAAGUAGAGAUAAUUUUCCGUGUUCCUUUGUAGUUUGAGGGAUUCUAUUUUGUACCAUUUGGAAUAAAGAAUUUUUAUUUAGUAGUAGAAAAAAAAGAAAAAUGAAUAAUGUAUGUGUUGUGAUACUUAGAAGUUGCACGUCAGCCCCAGCGAGCAGCUGGAAGAAAAUGUGGAAAUUCCGUUCGCCUGGGUGCUGAGCUGUUACGCGGGACUAAACGGAGUUAAUGAGUGAAUUGACCUGUUUAUUCGUAUCUUGAUUGCAUUAGUUUAAUAUUACGACAUCGUACCUUUUCUAAUAAAUCUGUUAGGAAGG